UACGGAGGAUCCAAGCGUUAUCCGGAAUCAUUGGGUUUAAAGGGUCCGUAGGCGGUUUAAUAAGUCAGUGGUGAAAGCCCAUCGCUCAACGGUGGAACGGCCAUUGAUACUGUUAAACUUGAAUUAUUAGGAAGUAACUAGAAUAUGUAGUGUAGCGGUGAAAUGCUUAGAGAUUACAUGGAAUACCAAUUGCGAAGGCAGGUUACUACUAAUGGAUUGACGCUGAUGGACGAAAGCGUGGGUAGCGAAACAGG
rnacentral:rRNA from 1 species